rnacentral:rRNA from 1 species
GAUGAACGCUGGCGGCGUGCCUAAUACAUGCCAGUCGAGCGAACAGAUGAGGAGCUUGCUCCUCUGACGUUAGCGGCGGACGGGUGAGUAACACGUGGAUAACCUACCUAUAAGACUGGGAUAACUUCGGGAAACCGGAGCUAAUACCGGAUAAUAUAUUGAACCGCAUGGUUCAAUAGUGAAAGACGGUUUUGCUGUCACUUAUAGAUGGAUCCGCGCCGCAUUAGCUAGUUGGUAAGGUAACGGCUUACCAAGGCAACGAUGCGUAGCCGACCUGAGAGGGUGAUCGACCACACUGGAACUGAGACACGGUCCAGACUCCUACGGGAGGCAGCAGUAGGGAAUCUUCCGCAAUGGGCGAAAGCCUGACGGAGCAACGCCGCGUGAGUGAUGAAGGUCUUCGGAUCGUAAAACUCUGUUAUUAGGGAAGAACAAAUGUGUAAGUAACUAUGCACGUCUUGACGGUACCUAAUCAGAAAGCCACGGCUAACUACGUG